rnacentral:sRNA from 1 species
CUUCCUCGAUCUGCUGCGGGCAGAUGAAAUGGAUGUGGCUGUCCAUGCCGCCGGCGGUGACGAUCUUGCCCUCGCCCGCAAUCGCCUCGGUGCCCGGCCCGACGAUGAUGUUGACGCCCGGCUGGGUAUCCGGAUUGCCGGCCUUGCCGAUCGCGACGAUGCGGCCGUCCUUCAAGCCGAUAUCCGCCUUCACGAUCCCCCAAUUAUCGAGAAUCAAAGCAUUGGUGAUGACGGUGUCGACGGCGCCGUUUGCGCGCGUCACCUGGCUCUGCCCCAUGCCGUCGCGAAUG